rnacentral:rRNA from 1 species
AUUUGAGAGUUUGAUCCUGGCUCAGGACGAACGCUGGCGGCGUGCCUAAUACAUGCAAGUUGAGCGCUGAAGGUUGGUACUUGUACCGACUGGAUGAGCAGCGAACGGGUGAGUAACGCGUGGGGAAUCUGCCUUUGAGCGGGGGACAACAUUUGGAAACGAAUGCUAAUACCGCAUAAAAACUUUAAACACAAGUUUUAAGUUUGAAAGAUGCAAUUGCAUCACUCAAAGAUGAUCCCGCGUUGUAUUAGCUAGUUGGUGAGGUAAAGGCUCACCAAGGCGAUGAUACAUAGCCGACCUGAGAGGGUGAUCGGCCACAUUGGGACUGAGACACGGCCCAAACUCCUACGGGAGGCAGCAGUAGGGAAUCUUCGGCAAUGGACGAAAGUCUGACCGAGCAACGCCGCGUGAGUGAAGAAGGUUUUCGGAUCGUAAAACUCUGUUGGUAGAGAAGAACGUUGGUGAGAGUGGAAAGCUCAUCAAGUGACGGU